CCUGCAGAGAAAUCAUUCGAGGCAUUACAGGAAAGUUCAAUUGAAUUAUCAUUGCCAUUUUUUUAAUGUUGACUGGCUUGAAUUAUGAUUUGAACCCUUUUGCUUGUAUGAAUAAUAUUUUUCAGUGAUGAUUCCCAGGAAGCAAUGAGACAAAGCUUUUUGUGAACCAAUAGGAAUUCAGCAGCCAUGUGACAGAGAACGCACACAAAGAAGUUAAGUAACACAUAAAAGCGCUCUACUUUAUCACAUUGUCCAUUGCUGCUUUUUUUCCUCCUGCCUUAAAGGCUUCAUUCUUGAUUAAUCCUUUCCUCGCUUUGUGUUUCUCUUCUCCGCAGAAACAAACUCAAUGGACUCAAAGUUUUGGCUGGGAGGUCUAAUCCUAUUUUCUCUGAUCAGAGUGGCAUGUGGCGGACAAGUUACCAGAAAUGACAUUACCAUUGUUACCACUGGCAAGAGUGGUAACCUGGUUGGCAACAUGAUAGUCCCGCUCCUGCUGUUGUCUUCUACCAUCUUUGUGGCUGUUGCUGAUGUGCAGCCAUGUUCUCUUGGAACCAUUCCUAUAAUUCUUCAUUAAUAAACAAUACAUUGCUGCUA